rnacentral:piRNA from 1 species
UAAGCCAUGGACUCUGUAUAGCAUAGCAUA